rnacentral:lncRNA from 1 species
UGUUAUUGUUAUAAUAUUUUAGAGUUCAUUGGAGUAUUUAUUUAUUUAUUUUUAUAUCCGGUUUGACCCCGGUUCGACCUUUUGACCCUUGACCCUUUUUCUUUUUCAAGUCGAUGUCCGAGUCGAUUUUUAAAACAUUGCUAUCUACACUCCCCCUCUCUACCCCUAUAACUUUGUCUCUCAACUUCCUCUCUUUCUCUUGUCAUUUUUAUAUUAAAUAUAAUCGUACACUUAUACAAUCACACGUGAAUAAUCAACCCCAUACACGGUUCAAGGAUCUCUUUCCAACAAUAACUCCUUUUAUCAUUUUGAAUUUUUCAAUGAAAAGGUAAGUUGGGCUUUAUGUUUAUGGUAGUUAAUGCUUAUGUAUGUAAUAUUUCUACGACUAUGUUAUAUUUGACCCAUGUUACGUAUGUUUUAUUAAGAAUGGACAGGAGUUUAGGAUUAUUACGUACGAAAAUUUAGCACCAUUAUAAGUUCGGUAUAAUUUUCAUAUUUCCCUAUGCAAGUUAUGAUUUUCUGUAGAAAUACAUAUAUGAAUUUAUUACCCACGCACAAUUAUUAAAAAUUAUUAUCACCCUAUUAUGUCUCUACUUUUCAGAUAAUUGAUGAUUCGAGAUGGUCGACACAGAGAUGGUUUAUGGAAGCAAAAAUUUCAACAAUAAAAUUAUUACGCUGUCAAACUAUUAUCAUUUCAUUUAAUUUUAAAUAUUUUAAGAUAUUCC